rnacentral:tRNA from 1 species
UAGGCCAGUGGCUCAGCUUGGUUAGAGCGCACGGCUGAUAACCGUGAGGUCCUGGGUUCGAAUCCCAGCUGGCCUAU